ACAGGUCAUCAAGGCGUGGUACAGGUCAUCAAGGCGUGGUACAGGUCAUCAAGGCGUGGUACAGGUCAUCAAGGCGUGGUACAGGUCAUCAAGGCGUGGUACAGGUCAUCAAGGCGUGGUACAGGUCAUCAAGGCGUGGUACAGGUCAUCAAGGCGUGGUACAGGUCAUCAAGACGUGGUACAGGUCAUCAAGGCGUGGUACAGGUCAUCAAGGCGUGGUACAGGUCAA